CACCUUCCCCAAGAUCUUCCUCCAGUGAUGCCGCCAGAGGAUGAGGACGAUGACAGCCAAUAGGAGCAGGAUGAUGGCCACCAGGCAGCCAAUCAGGAUAGACGUGUGGUUGUGAUCCUCUUUGGCCACUGGUUGCCCAGCCUUGGGCCCCCACCCACCCGAGGUGCUGAGGUUGGUGGCCGUGGCUUCCAGGGGGGGUUCAGAGGGGGCGGCCGGGGGCCACCCGCUGCCCCCCAUUGCUUCUUCCACCACAUCUGCAUAGGGAGAGAGCCUUAACGAAGCGGCUAACGAAGGGGUGAGGCCGGGAUCCCCAGCUCGUUAACUAAUUAGUGCAGUGGGUUCAUUGGGGCUGUCACCCAAUUCAUGAGCUCACCGGCCAAUUAAUGAUCUUGUUGCUAUUUAAUGAGGUCGUGAGCCAACCGAUGGCCCCAUCACCCCAAUUAAGGACUCCAGCACCCAAUUAAUGACCCAUCGGCCAACUGAUGGCCCCACGGCUUAAUUAAUGACCCCACUACUCAACUAAUGACCCAUCGGCCAACUGAUGGCCCCACGGCUUAAUUAACGACCCCACUACUCAACUAAUGACCCAUCGGCCAUCUGAUGGCCCCACGGCUUAAUUAACGACCCCACUACUCAACUAAUGAUCCAUCGGCGAACUGAUGGCCCCACGGCUUAAUUAAUGACCCCACUACUCAACUAAUGACCCCAUUGCCCACUUAAUGACCCCAUUACCCACUUCCCGACCCCAUCACCCAAUUAACGACACCAUUACCCAAUUAAUGACCCCACCGCCCAAAUAGUGACCCCACCACCCAAUUAACGACCCCACUGCUUAAUUAAUGGCUGCACCACCCUAAUAAUGACCCCUACAUCCAACCAAUCAACCCACCACACAGCUAAUGAUCCCAUCACUUAAUUAAUGACCCCACCACCCAACUUACGACCCCACAGCUUAAUUAAUGACCCCAUUGCUUAAUUAAUGACUCCACCACCCGACUAAUGACCCCACUGCUUAAUUAAUGACCCCACCACCCAUCUUACGACCCCACAGCUUAAUUAAUGACCCCACCACCCAUCUUACGACCCCACUGCUUAAUUAAUGACCCCACCACCCAACUUAUGACCCCACUGCUUAAUUAAUGACCCCACCACCCAAC
ensembl:lncRNA